UAUAUACUCCCUUCAUUCCGAAUUACUUGUCUUAGAUUUAUCUAGAUACGGAGGUAUCUAGCACUAAAAUGAGUCUAGAUAUAUCCAUAUCUAAACAAAUCCAAGACAAAUAAUUCAGAACGAAGGGAGUAGAAU
rfam:Triticum aestivum genome assembly, contig: Triticum_aestivum_CS42_TGACv1_scaffold_471022_6AL